rnacentral:lncRNA from 1 species
UGCUGAAGUCGGUUUGCUGGUUGGGGGUACUCUCUUCCGCUUCUUAGCUGGCUUGGGAGCAGGUGUUUCUUCUUCCUCAUCUUCAGUCUCAGCUCUAAGACCCUCUUCGAUCUCUGCCUCCAAUGUCGCUCUGUCAGCUGGCGACUUUUCUCUUUGCUGUGGAGCUUUGCGCCGGGAAACCUGAGCUGGUGGGUUUGGCGUUGGUUGGCUUGCUCGUGGUGGGUUGGUUCUUGUCCCGGCUCGAGACGAAGUGCCUACAUCCCCAAUGCGAUCCGUUCCGGGACCGCGAUCUUUCCCCAUGUCCUGCUAUCAACAAGCUCGAAAUUGUAUAAGUGACAUGAUCAAUAAGAAACAAAUUAAAGCUUGGAAAGAGUUAAUGAGUUCAAAAACAGAAAAUGGCAUUCAUACUCAUCUUCUAUGACUCAAUAAACUCAAUUUUAACAUCAAACAAUCACUCCCAUUUCAAUUUUCGAAAACCCCCAAUAUGAACCCUAACUUUUCAAAUUCGAAUUCAGGUCAAUUAAACACGUUUUUCAUCUACCCAACUCAUCAAUAAAGUAUAAAAGGACAUAAUUAACGAGUAUUGAACAAGAAAUCAACCAUGCAACCACUUUAAAAAAUAAUGGAAAAUUUUGAAUCCGAAAAUAAGAUGACGAUUUCUCUAUACCUUAGCUUGUUUCAGAUAAACAAGAGUAGGGAAAUAAAAAGUCGAAGUGAAAUCACGGAGAUAGCAACUUGAAUCAACGAAUUUGGUGAAGAAUUGAGAGACUUAUGAGUUCUUAUGCUUGAGAGAAUGAAAGUAUGGAGUUUUUG